CAUGCAGGCGGUCAGGCGCGUUUUGUGUGACAGCGGAUGGCUUAACUAUCCGAGGAUACGAAAGACGGCGUGACUUGAGAGCGCGAGAGGGACACGGAAUUCCGGGUGGAGUGGUGAAAUGCGUAGAGAUCCGGAGGAACACCGCAGGCGAAGGCAGUGUCCUGGCUGGUACCUGACGCUGAGGUGCGAAAGCCAGGGGAGCGAACG
rnacentral:rRNA from 1 species